GACGAACCAAGCGAACGUUAUUCGGAAUUACUGGGCUUAAAGCGCGUGUAGGCGGAUGGCCACGUCGGUUGUUGAAAUCCCCCGGCUUAACCGGGGAACAGGCACCGAUACGAGUUAUCUGGAGGUGGGUAGGGGAGACUGGAACUUCCGGUGGAGCGGUGAAAUGUGUUGAGAUCGGAAGGAACGCCUGCGGCGAAAGCGAGUCUCUGGCCCCAUACUGACGCUGAGACGCGAAAGCCAGGGGAGCAAACGGG
rnacentral:misc_RNA from 1 species